rnacentral:pre_miRNA from 1 species
AUCACCUGGAGAUCUUGCUGAAAUGCACAUUCUGAGUCAGCAGGGCUGGGGAAGGACCUGAGAUUCUGCAUUUCUAACAAGUCUCCAGGUGAUACUGA